rnacentral:lncRNA from 1 species
AGUAUUAUAAUCAGUUUAAAUCAGUAUAUGUUUUAGAACAAGUUUAAGUUUUGGGAAAAAUAGUCUUGGAACAAAAUGCUAGAGGCAAUUUGUGAAGGAGAUAGGUUAGGGGAAAUAAGAUUCAUUUCCUUGUUUCAUGUAGCUAUGAGAUGGAAUGAGUUUGAAGAGAAAAAAAAAGUAGGGAGAAGAAAAAAUAUUAUCCAGAAAACCAAGAUCCAGUUCUUGCAUAGGAUAUUUUAGAUUAAUGACAGAGCAGUAGAAAGCAUAAUGUUUUUAUUAUCUUGAAAAGCUGCUCCCUAACACUCUUCCUUCCCUUUGCCAAGGUUUGACACCAGCAAAUCAAAUUUCAUUGUAAAUCUCUGAAGUGCAGUUUGGUCACUGGGGGUUUAGCCAAGUUUAUGGCCUUUCAGUUUGUAAUUGUAUUUUUACUAACUAUAUGUUACUGACAACCUAGCGAAGGCGUCUCUAGAUAUUGAAGAAAAUGGCCAUUUAUGCUAAAUCUAUUGAAUGCAGUGACACAACAGCAUUAGGGACUUUGCCUUAGACAAAUAUCAUCAUCGUCAGUUAAGUUGGUGUGCUUGAUUCUAAUUCUUGAAAAGGAAAUGACAGGACCAAUGUGUUGUCAAGAACAGUCUGAAGUACAUCAUUCAUAUCAAUAUUUAGGAGAUUGUCAUCAAGAGACUGCUGCUUGAAGAAGGAAUCCGUAUCUAGGAUUUCCAGAAUAUAAAACUUUUAUUAAAACAGGAGGUGGGAAAAAUCUAGUUUAAUGCAAUCAAGGAGCUGCAGUUUGAUUUAAACUUGUACCUCAUUUUAUCAUGGAACUGGCUUCCAGAUUUAUUCUGUGGGCCCAGAUUGGACCAAAAGACAUAAUUAUCAUAGAUGAUGACAGGUACUCAUCUAAUGUUGUUAAACAAGAUCCUGAGCAAUCCUGAGCAACUGUUAGAAGGAAGAAAGUAAUAAAAGAUGAUUGUGAUUUAAUUUAUCUGCAUUAAUUUGGAAAUUAGAUCUUUAGAUCAUUAAUUGGAUUUAAACAUGAAAACCUGGAAAAAAAUUAAACUCUUUUGAAAUUGGAAAA